GAUGAACGCUGGCGGCGUGCUUAACACAUGCAAGUCGAACGGAAAGGCCGAAGCUUGCUUCGGUACUCGAGUGGCUAACGGGUGAGUAACACGUGGGUGAUCUGCCCUGUACUUCGGGAUAAGCUUGGGAAACUGGGUCUAAUACCGGAUAUGACAAUCUCUUGGAUGGGGUUGUGGAAAGCUUUUGCGGUAUGGGAUGAGCUCGCGGCCUAUCAGCUUGUUGGUGGGGUAAUGGCCUACCAAGGCGUCGACGGGUAGCCGGCCUGAGAGGGUGUACGGCCACAUUGGGACUGAGAUACGGCCCAGACUCCUACGGGAGGCAGCAGUGGGGAAUAUUGCACAAUGGGCGCAAGCCUGAUGCAGCGACGCCGCGUGGGGGAUGACGGCCUUCGGGUUGUAAACUCCUUUCGCAACCGACGAAGCUUUUGUGACGGUAGGUUGAGAAGAAGCACCGGCUAACUACGUG
rnacentral:rRNA from 1 species